AAUACUAGAGUUUGAUCCUGGCUCAGGACGAACGCUGGCGGCGUGCCUAAGACAUGCAAGUCGAACGAGAAAGUCUCUUCGGAGAUGAGUAAAGUGGCGCACGGGUGAGUAACGCGUGGGUAAUCUGCCCUUAGGUCUGGGAUAACCCCGGGAAACCGGAGCUAAUACCGGAUGAGACCACGACGACUUCGGUCGAUGUGGGAAAAGGUGGCCUCUUCUUGAAAGCUAUCGCCAAAGGAUGAGCCCGCGUUUGAUUAGCUAGUUGGUGAGGUAAUGGCUCACCAAGGCGACGAUCAAUAGCUGGUCUGAGAGGAUGAUCAGCCACACUGGAACUGAGAUACGGUCCAGACUCCUACGGGAGGCAGCAGUCAGGAAUAUUGGGCAAUGGGCGAAAGCCUGACCCAGCAACGCCGCGUGAAGGAUGAAGGCCUUCGGGUCGUAAACUUCUGUCGAGAGGGAAGAAUGUGUACGGGUGAACAAUCCGUGCAUUUGACGGUACCUCCAAAGGAAGCACCGGCUAACUCCGUGCCAGCAGCCGCGGUAAUACGGAGGGUGCAAGCGUUGUUCGGAUUCAUUGGGCGUAAAGCGAGUGUAGGCGGUUUGACAAGUCGGAUGUGAAAUCCCAGGGCCCAACCCUGGAACUGCAUCCGAUACUGUCUGGCUAGAGUCCCGGAGAGGGUGGCGGAAUUCCCGGUGUAGGGGUGAAAAUCCGUAGAUAUCGGGAGGAACACUAGUGGCGAAGGCGGUUACCUGGACGGUGACUGACGCUGAGACUCGAAAGCGUUGGUAGCAAACAGGAUUAGAUACCUCUGGUAGUCCACCGCUGUAAACCGUGAGUGCUCGUCGUCGUGGGUAUUGACCUCCUGCGUGA
rnacentral:rRNA from 1 species